GCUUGUCUCAAAGAUUAAGCCAUGCAUGUCUAAGUAUAAACAAAUCUAUACGUGAAACUGCGAAUGGCUCAUUAUAUCAGUUAUAGUUUAUUUGAUGGUUCAUACUACUUGGAUAACCGUAGUAAUUCUAGAGCUAAUACAUGCGUCAAUGCCCGACUUUGGAAGGGCUGUGUUUAUUAGAUCCAAAACCAAUGCGGGGCAACCCGGUUACUGGUGAUUCAUAAUAACCUAUCGGACCGAAUGGCCUUGCGCCGUCGGUGCAUCAUUCAAAUUUCUGCCCUAUCAAUUUGUUGGUAGUAUAUAGGACUACCAAGAUGAUUACGGGUAACGGAGAAUUAGGGUUUGAUUCCGGAGAGGGAGCCUGAGAAACGGCUACCACAUCUAAGGAAGGCAGCAGG
rnacentral:rRNA from 1 species